rnacentral:rRNA from 1 species
GACGAACGCUGGCGGCGUGCUUAACACAUGCCAGUCGAACGGAAAGGCCCUGCUUUUGUGGGGUGCUCGAGUGGCGAACGGGUGAGUAACACGUGAGUAACCUGCCCUUGACUUUGGGAUAACUUCAGGAAACUGGGGCUAAUACCGGAUAGGAGCUCCUGCUGCAUGGUGGGGGUUGGAAAGUUUCGGCGGUUGGGGAUGGACUCGCGGCUUAUCAGCUUGUUGGUGGGGUAGUGGCUUACCAAGGCUUUGACGGGUAGCCGGCCUGAGAGGGUGACCGGCCACAUGGGGACUGAGAUAGGGCCCAGACUCCUACGGGAGGCAGCAGGGGGGAAUAUUGCACAAUGGGCGGAAGCCUGAGGCAGCAACGCCGCGUGCGGGAUGACGGCCUUCGGGUUGUAAACCGAUUUCGCCUGUGACGAAGAGUGAGUGACGGUAAUGGGUAAAGAAGCACCGGCUAACUACGUG